rnacentral:rRNA from 1 species
UAAAGUGAACUAAGAGCAUUUGGUGAAUGCCUUGGUGGCAAGAGGCUAUGAAGGACGUGAUACGCUGCGAUAAGCCAUGGGGAGCUGCGAAUGAGCUUUGAUCCGUGGAUUUCCGAAUGGGGAAACCCGGCCCUUAGGGGUCAUCGUACGCUGAAUACAUAGGCGUGCGAAGCAAACCUGGGGAACUGAAACAUCUAAGUACCCAGAGGAAAGGACAUCAACCGAGACUCCGUCAGUAGCGGCGAGCGAACGCGGACCAGGCCUGUGCUGCAGAUCGACUAAUUGGAAGCUUCUGGAAAGUUGCGCCAUAGCGGGUGAUAGCCCCGUACAAGUAUUGAAGAUUUGCGGACUUGAGUAGGACGGGACACGUGAAAUCUUGUCUGAACGUGGGGGGACCACCCUCCAAGCCUAAGUACUCCUUGCCAACCGAUAGUGAACAAGUACCGUGAGGGAAAGGUGAAAAGCACCCCGACGAGGGGAGUGAAAGAGAACCUGAAACCGAAUGCUUACAAACAGUUGGAGCCCUUCGGGGUGACAGCGUACCUUUUGUAUAAUGGGUCAGCGACUUAAUUUAUUGAGCAAGCUUAAGCCGUUAGGUGUAGGCGUAGCGAAAGCGAGUCUGAAUAGGGCGUCAAGUUUGAUGGAUUAGACCCGAAACGAGGUGAUCUAGCCAUGGGCAGGCUGAAGGUGCGGUAACACGCACUGGAGGGCCGAACCCACCUAUGUUGAAAAAUGGGGGGAUGACCUGUGGCUAGGGGUGAAAGGCCAAUCAAACCUCGAGAUAGCUGGUUCUCCGCGAAAUCUAUUUAGGUAGAGCGUUGGAUGAAUACUUCAGGGGGUAGAGCACUGGAUAGGCUAGGGGGUCCAAACGACUUACCAAACCUAACCAAACUCCGAAUACCUGAAAGUACUAUCCGGCAGACACACUGUGGGUGCUAAGGUCCAUAGUGAAAAGGGAAACAGCCCUGACCGCCAGUUAAGGUCCCUAAAUCACGUGCUAAGUGGGAAAGGAUGUGAGGAUCCCAAGACAACCAGGAUGUUGGCUUAGAAGCAGCCACCAUUUAAAGAAAGCGUAACAGCUCACUGGUCUAAAUAAGGGUCUUUGCGCCGAAAAUGUAACGGGGCUUAAGCCGUGUACCGAAACUGCGGGUGCGUCUUUGACGCACGGUAGCGGAGCGUUCUGUAGGCCUGUGAAGGGUGCUUGCGAGAGCAUCUGGAGGUAUCAGAAGUGAGAAUGCUGACAUGAGUAACGAUAAAGAGUGUGAGAGACACUCUCGCCGAAAUCCUAAGGAUUCCUGCUUAAAGCUAAUCUGAGCAGGGUUAGUCGGCCCCUAAGGCGAGGACGAAAGUCGUAGUCGAUGGGAAUCAGGUUAAUAUUCCUGAACCAGUGGAUAGUGACGAACGCUGAAAGUUGUUGAUCCUUAUUGGAUUGGGUUGGCAGCGUAGGAGUUCCAGGAAAUAGCUUCCACAUUAGACCGUACCCGAAACCGACACAGGUAGGAUGGUAGAGUAUACCAAGGCGCUUGAGAGAACUAUGUUGAAGGAACUCGGCAAAAUACUCCCGUAAGUUCGCGAGAAGGGAGACCUCUUUCCAGGCAACUGAGAAGAGGUGGCACAGACCAGGGGGUGGCGACUGUUUACUAAAAACGUAGGGCUCUGCGAAGCCGCAAGGCGACGUAUAGGGUCUGACGCCUGCCCGGUGCUGGAAGGUUAAGAGGAGGGGUGCGAGCUCUGAAUUGAAGCCCCAGUAAACGGCGGCCGUAACUAUAACGGUCCUAAGGUAGCGAAAUUCCUUGUCGGGUAAGUUCCGACCUGCACGAAUGGCGUAACGACUUCCCCGCUGUCUCCAACAUAGAC